GACGGACGCUGGCGGCGUGCCUAAUACAUGCAAGUCGAGCGGACGGAUGGGAGCUUGCUCCCAGCCCGUCAGCGGCGGACGGGUGCGUAACACGUGGGCAACCUGCCUGUAAGACUGGGAUAACUCCGGCAAACCGGGGCUAAUACCGGAUAACUCUUUCCCUCUCAUGAGGGACAGCUGCAAGAUGGCAUCUCGCUAUCACUUACAGCUGGGCCCGCGGCGCAUUAGCUCGUUGGUGAGGUAACGGCACCCCAAGGCGACGAUGCGUAGCCGACCUGAGAGGGAGAUCGGCCACAUUGGGACUGAGACACGGCCCAGACUCCUACGGGAGGCAGCAGUAGGGAAUCUUACGCAAUGGACGAAAGGCUGACGGAGCAACGCCGAGUGAGGGAUGAAGGUUUUCGGAUCGUAAAACUCUGUUGUCAGUGAAGAACAAGUACCGGAGUAACUGCCGGUACCUUGACGGUACCUGACCAGAAAGCCACGGCUAACUACGUG
rnacentral:rRNA from 1 species